AAUUAAUUAGUUUAAAAAAAAUUUGGUUUUGAAGAAACUAGGAUUAUUUAAUUA
rnacentral:tRNA from 1 species